rnacentral:rRNA from 1 species
GAUGAACGUUGGCGGUGUGCCUAAUACAUGCAAGUCGAACGGAGACAGUAGCAAUAUUGUCUUAGUGGCGAACGGGUGAGUAACGCGUUGGUGACCUGCCCCGAAGUGUGGAAUAACAGUUCGAAAGAAUUGCUAAUACCGCAUGUGAUCUUUGAGAUUAGAACCUCUUUGAUUAAAGGAUUUAUUCGCUUCGGGAGGGGCCUGCGUCCCAUCAGCUAGUUGGUAGGGUAAAAGCCUACCAAGGCGAUGACGGGUAGGGGACCUGAGAGGGUGGCCCCCCACAAUGGAACUGAAACACGGUCCAUACACCUACGGGUGGCAGCAGUAGGGAAUAUUAGUAAUGGGCGAAAGCCUGAACUAGCAACACCGCGUGUGCGAUGAAGGCCUUCGGGUCGUAAAGCACUUUUCGGGAGGAUGAGGAAGGACGGUACUCCCGGAAUAAGUCUCGGCUAACUACGUG